CGGGAGAAGUUGUACCGCUAUAUGUUUUUAAUAAGGUCAUAAGCGUAUAGCUUUUCCCCU
rnacentral:pre_miRNA from 1 species